UACUCCGUACCUGUAGUAAACUACAUUAGGCACAAAAAAGAGCUUAUCUAGAUGCAAUACUUACGUUAUUGAGAAACAAUGACUGCUAUCUAUCGUUCACACUUUGACGCCUGAGCUGAGGAGGCUAGGUUAAACCAGGGAGAUCUGAACAGGAUAGGGAGUUUUAUGAAGUUUGGGUAGAGUAUGGGGACAUCCGAGGUAUGAAAUACGUUGCAAACAGCGCCAUUGCGCCACUCGCUGCGACGUCGGGAUGCCGAGACGUUGGUGCAGCGCCGUGCCCAUCGGUGAUCUGUGUAACAUCGAGAAGUAUUGAAGCGGGCUUUGGGUGUUGAUGGGGGGGUCCUUGGAGUAACGAAUAAGCAAAGCAUUAUUAUUGUCGCUGUGCUCAUAAAUGUUUAGGUAGUUGAAUAUGCACUGCUUGUGUAAAAAAGUGAGUCCAAUUCACCGACCGCUCUUACCUUCACAUUGCCAUGGUAAAUGAACGUGCUGGAACCUCUCGACCUGAUCGUCGGUAGGCCGACGGAUAGUGACCACCCACUUUGAAAAUGCUGCCUUCUCGAAGAAUAAGCCUUCACACCUCUACUGUGCUGCAGAGGACACAUGCGUAUCAAGCAGCCGACUUUCUUGCUGAAAGCCGUUGGUCUGCAACCUUGCGGAAUCGGCGUCACUUCAAAAAUACCAAAUCAACGGGAGUGCGCGUUUUAACCAUCGAAAUGGUCGGGUGCUUGUGCUGGAGCGUCGGUGAAGUGUGUGUAUACGUGCCGUGUGGCUUCCAUAAAAGCAUCGUGUAGUGUGUGUCGUCAUAGUUAAGGCGAAAGGUCAGGUGAAGUGGGCAAGUGUCGUAAGUUGUGUCUGGUUACAUUGCAAAGCUCUGAAGUGAUCCUGCUGUACGUGCGUUGGUGUGGUGAAUCAGCGUGGUGAUUUCGCGCUGUCACGUGGCCGAGAAAGCGCUGUGAAUUGAUAUGCGUCAGUGUGGUGUUUUCGCGCUGUCGUGUGGUUGAGACAGCGCUGUGGAGUGAUGUGCGAAACGUCAGCUGAUGUGAAUAAGUGUGGUGAUUUCGCGCUGUCACGGGGUUGAUGAAAGCGCCGUGAAGUGAUGUGCGUCGGUGUGGUGCGUCAGCUAUAUCGAGUGGCUUCAGGUAAAAAGUCAGGUGAUGUGAAUCAGUGUGGGGAUUUCGCGCU